AAGAGUGUAGUUUAAUGGUAAAAUAAGAAGCUUCAAACUUCGUGUUCUUGGUUCAAAUCCGAGUACUUUUG